AGCCAAAUGCUGAACAUGUUCUGGCAAUGAAGGACAGAGUCUCCUCAAUCUGGCAGAAGACCAUCUACUGUGAUUCUGCUGAGACCCUUGGAAGUCACCUGGUUCUUUACUGUUUCGUCAGUUUUCUUUAUGAUCAGGAUUGUACUCAGGACGUUGAGCUUGCGAGACAGCGUAGACAUCACUGAGGGACGUUGAUCCAAUUUUGGGAGUCCCUGGGUUUGGAAAGGAGGGUCCUUUCUCCUGUAAGGACAGCUGGUUACCACCACUACCAGCACUCUGUGGAGUGUAGGAAGAAU